rnacentral:tRNA from 1 species
GAUGAGGUGGCUGAGUUGGUAAAGCAGCAGUUUGCUAAACUGUCGAGAUCGUUCUGGUCUUGCAUGGGUUCAACCCCCGUUCUCAUCG